rnacentral:rRNA from 1 species
CAAUAGCGUAUAUUAAAGUUGUUGCAGUUAAAAAGCUCGUAGUUGGAUUUGUGGCGUACGGUGUGUUCCGGGCACUUGUUGUCUGAGUAACCUGCUGUUGCCAUCCUUGGGUGGAACCUGUGUGGCAUUAGGUUGUCGUGCAGGGGAUGCCCAUCAUUUACUGUGAAAACAUUAGAGUGUUCAAAGCAGGCUUAUGCCGUUGAAUAUAUUAGCAUGGAAUAAUGAGAUAGGACUUUUUUGCUAUUUUGUUGGUUUGCGCAAAGAGGUAAUGAUUAAUAGGGACAGUUGGGGGUAUUCGUAUUCCAUUGUCAGAGGUGAAAUUCUUGGAUUUUUGGAAGACGAACUACUGCGAAAGCAUUUACCAAGGAUGUUUUCAUUAA